rnacentral:rRNA from 1 species
AAUGCUUGGGAAUCUGCCCAGUAGUGGGGGAUAACGUGUGGAAACGCACGCUAAUACCGCAUACGUCCUACGGGAGAAAGCAGGGGAUCUUCGGACCUUGCGCUAUUGGAUGAGCCCAAGUCAGAUUAGCUAGUUGGUGGGGUAAUGGCUCACCAAGGCGACGAUCUGUAGCUGGUCUGAGAGGAUGAUCAGCCACACUGGGACUGAGACACGGCCCAGACUCCUACGGGAGGCAGCAGUGGGGAAUAUUGCACAAUGGGCGAAAGCCUGAUGCAGCCAUGCCGCGUGUGUGAAGAAGGCUCUAGGGUUGUAAAGCACUUUCAGUGGGGAGGAAAAGUUUAAGAUUAAUACUCUUGAACCUUGACGUUACCUGCAGAAGAAGCACCGGCAAACUCCGUGCCAGCAGCCGCGGUAAUACGGAGGGUGCGAGCGUUAAUCGGAAUUACUGGGCGUAAAGCGCGCGUAGGUGGUUUGAUAAGCUAGCUGUGAAAGCCCCGGGCUCAUCCUGGGAACUGCAGUUAGAACUGUCUGGCUAGAGUAUAGUAGAGGGUGGCGGAAUUUCCUGUGUAGCGGUGAAAUGCGUAGAUAUAGGAAGGAACAUCAGUG